rnacentral:rRNA from 1 species
UACCAGCAGCCCAAGUGGUGGUCACGAUUAUUGGGCCUAAAGCGCUCGUAGCCGGGUUGAUGUGUCCCUUGUGAAAUCGGGCGGCUCAACCGUUCGGCUUGCAAGGGAUACUAUCAGCCUUGGGGUCGGGAGAGGUCGAGGGUACUCCGGGGGUAGCGGUGAAAUGCUGUAAUCCUCGGGGGACCACCAGUGGCGAAGGCGCUCGACCAGAACGAGCUCGACGGUGAGGGGCGAAAGCUGGGGGAGCGAACGGG